GAUCCUGGCUUAGGAUGAACGCUGGCGGCGUGCUUAACACAUGCAAGUCGACGAAACCUAUGGAUUGAAGUCUCGGAAUGAUUGAAAUAAGUUAGUGGCGGACGGGUGAGUAACGCGUGGAUAACCUGCCUUACACUGGGGGACAACAGUUGGAAACGACUGCUAAUACCGCAUAAGCGCACAGUACUGCAUGGUACAGUGUGAAAAACUCCGGUGGUGUAAGAUGGAUCCGCGUCUGAUUAGCUAGUUGGUGGGGUAAUGGCCUACCAAGGCGACGAUCAGUAGCCGGCCUGAGAGGGUGAACGGCCACAUUGGGACUGAGACACGGCCCAGACUCCUACGGGAGGCAGCAGUGGGGAAUAUUGCACAAUGGAGGAAACUCUGAUGCAGCCGACGCCGCGUGAGUGAUGAAGUAUUUCGGUAUGUAAAGCUCUAUCAGCAAGGAAGAUAAUGACGGUACUUGACUAAGAAGCCCCGGCUAACUACGUGCCAGCCGCCGC
rnacentral:rRNA from 1 species